rnacentral:rRNA from 1 species
GACGAACGCUGGCGGCGUGCUUAACACAUGCAAGUCGAACGGAAAGGCCCUGCUUUUGUGGGGUUCUCGAGUGGCGAACGGGUGAGUAACACGUGAGUAACCUGCCCUUCACUUUGGUAUAACUUCAGGAAACUGGGGCUAAUACCGUAUAGGAGCUCCUGCUGCAUGGUGGGGGUUGGAAAGUUUCGGCGGUUGGGGAUGGACUCGCGGCUUAUCAGCUUGUUGGUGGGGUAGUGGCUUACCAAGGCUUUGACGGGUAGCCGGCCUGAGAGGGUGACCGGCCACAUUGGGACUGAGAUACGGCCCAGACUCCUACGGGAGGAAGCAGUGGGGAAUAUUGCACAAUGGGCGGAAGCCUGAUGCAGCAACUCCGCGUGCGGGAUGACGGCCUUCGGGUUGUAAACCGCUUUCGCCUGUGACGAAGCGUGAGUGACGGUAAUGGGUAAAGAAGCACCGGCUAAAUACGUG